rnacentral:rRNA from 1 species
GAAGCAACGCGAAGAACCUUACCAGGUCUUGACAUCCUCUGACACUCCUAGAGAUAGGACUUUCCCCUUCGGGGGACAGAGUGACAGGUGGUGCAUGGUUGUCGUCAGCUCGUGUCGUGAGAUGUUGGGUUAAGUCCCGCAACGAGCGCAACCCUUGAUCUUAGUUGCCAGCAUUCAGUUGGGCACUCUAAGGUGACUGCCGGUGACAAACCGGAGGAAGGUGGGGAUGACGUCAAAUCAUCAUGCCCCUUAUGACCUGGGCUACACACGUGCUACAAUGGAUGGUACAAAGGGCAGCGAAGCCGCGAGGUGGAGCCAAUCCCAUAAAACCAUUCUCAGUUCGGAUUGCAGGCUGCAACUCGCCUGCAUGAAGCCGGAAUCGCUAGUAAUCGCGGAUCAGCAUGCCGCGGUGAAUACGUUCCCGGGCCUUGUACACACCGCCCGUCACACCACGAGAGUUUGUAACACCCGAAGUCGGUGGGGUAACCGUAAGGAGCCAGCCGCCUAAGGUGGGACAGA